GCAUCGAUGGUUCAGUGGUAGAAUGCUCGCCUGCCACGAGCGGGCGGCCCGGGUUCGAUUCCCGGCCGAUGCA
rnacentral:tRNA from 1 species